rnacentral:rRNA from 1 species
UACGAAGGGAGCUAGCGUUGUUCGGAAUUACUGGGCGUAAAGGGCGCGUAGGCGGCCAAACAAGUCAGGUGUGAAAGCCCAGGGCUCAACCCUGGAAUUGCGCUUGAAACUGUUUGGCUAGAGUUCGGGAGAGGUAAGUGGAAUUCCCAGUGUAGCAGUGAAAUGCGUAGAUAUUGGGAGGAACACCAGUGGCGAAGGCGGCUUACUGGACCGACACUGACGCUGAGGCGCGAAAGCGUGGGGAGCAAACAGG